UGGAGAAUUGCCAUUGAAACUGAAGUUCUUGAGUAUGGAUGAGGUGGUUGGAAUAUAACAUGUAGCGGUGAAAUGCAUAGAUAUGUUAUAGAACACCAAUUGCGAAGGCAGAUCACUAAACCAUUACUGACGCUGAGGUACGAAAGCGGUGGGGAGCGAACAGGAUUAGACUACCCUGGUAGUCCACGACCGUAAACGAUGUUCACUCGCUGUUGGCGAUAUACUGUCAGCGGCCAAGACGAAAGCAUUAAGUGAACCACCGUGGGGAGUACGAUCGCAAGGUUAGAAACUCAAAGGAAUUGGACGGGGGCCCGCACAAGCGGUGGAGCAUGUGGUUUAAUUCGAAGCAACGCGCAGAACCUUACCAACCCUUGACAUCCUGUGCUACAUCCAGAGAUGGAUGGUUCCCUUCGGGGACGCAGUGACAGGUGCUGCAUGGCU
rnacentral:rRNA from 1 species